CAGAGUUGCAAAACUCCCAACCAUUGUGAACCUACCUCACCGUUGCUUCGGCGGGUGGCCCGGGCAACCCAGGCCGCGCCGGCCCUCUCUUCGGGGGGCCCCGGCAAGCCCGUCAGAGGACCGAAACCCUGUAAGUACUGGCCUCUCUGAGUAACUUAUACAAUAAGUCA
rnacentral:misc_RNA from 1 species